CUACGGGGGGCUCCAGGCGCGAAACCUCUACAAUGCACGAAAGUGUGAUAGGGGAAUCCUAAGUGCUCAUGUUUCACAUGAGCUUUUGCCAAGAAUAAAUAUCUUGGCGAAUAAGUGGUGGGUAAGACAGGUGCCAGCAGCCGCGGUAACACCUGCGCCACAAGUGGCAAUCACAAUUAUUUGGCCUAAAGCGUCCGUAGCUGGUUCAUUAAAUCUUUUGUGAAAUUGUUUGGCUCAACCAGACAGCGAGCAAAAGAGACUGAUGAACUCGGAACCGGGAGGAGUCAGAAGUAUUCUUGGAGUAGCGGUAAAAUGUUAUAAUCCCAAGAAGACUACCUGUGGCGAAGGCGUCUGACCAGAACGGAUUCGACAGUGAGGGACGAAAGCUGGGGGAGCAAAACGGAUUAGAUACCCGUGUAGUC
rnacentral:rRNA from 1 species